UACGUAGGGUGCAAGCGUUUGUCCGGAAUUAUUGGGCGUAAAGAGCUCGUAGGCGGUCUGUCGCGUCGGCUGUGAAAUCCCGGAGCUCAACUCCGGGUCUGCAGUCGAUACGGGCAAACUGGAGUACUGCAGGGGAGACUGGAAUUCCUGGUGUAGCGGUGAAAUGCGCAGAUAUCAGGAGGAACACCUGUGGCGAAAGCGGCUCACUGGACCACAACUGACGCUGAGGCGCGAAAGCUAGGGGAGCAAACAGG
rnacentral:rRNA from 1 species